GACGAACGCUGGCGGCGUGCCUAACACAUGCAAGUCGAGCGGUAAGGCCCUUUCGGGGGUACACGAGCGGCGAACGGGUGAGUAACACGUGGGUGACCUGCCUUUAGCUCUGGGAUAAGCCUGGGAAACUGGGUCUAAUACCGGAUACGACUCCGCGGUGCAUGCUGUGGGGUGGAAAGCCUUGUGCGGCUGGAGAUGGGCCC
rnacentral:rRNA from 1 species